GUGACAUAUCGGGUUAAUGGUCACAAGAGCCAUGUGAAGAAGCUGAAUGCCUUGGACUUGGGUCAGAAAUGUCUUCACAGUGGCUGUGACUCUCAAGAUGCAUCAUGACAGAUGGAGUGAGGUUCUUCACAGGUUCCAAGGGAGAUGUGAAUAAAAGGCCGAAAGGAAAAACUCUCCAAGCCAAGGAAUCAGAAGCAACUAACAGGGUUUUGGACUGUAAGCUAACAGCAUCUUCCAAAAUCACAUCAGCUGGAGCCUUGGGUGGUUGAAGAGUGGAUUCCAGGG
rnacentral:lncRNA from 1 species